GAUGAACGCUGGCGGCGUGCCUAAUACAUGCAAGUCGAGCGAACAGACGAGGAGCUUGCUCCUUUGACGUUAGCGGCGGACGGGUGAGUAACACGUAGGUAACCUACCUAUAAGACUGGGAUAACUUCGGGAAACCGGAGCUAAUACCGGAUAAUAUUUCGAACCGCAUGGUUCGAUAGUGAAAGAUGGCUUUGCUAUCACUUAUAGAUGGACCUGCGCCGUAUUAGCUAGUUGGUAAGGUAACGGCUUACCAAGGCAACGAUACGUAGCCGACCUGAGAGGGUGAUCCGCCACCCUUGAACUGAGACCCCGUCCCGACUCCUACGGGAGGCCGCCGUUGGGAAUCUUCCCCCAUUGGCGAAAGCCUGACGGAGCAACGCCGCGUGAGUGAUGAAGGUCUUCGGAUCGUAAAACUCUGUUAUUAGGGAAGAACAAACGUGUAAGUAACUGUGCACGUCUUGACGGUACCUAAUCAGAAAGCCACGGCUAACUACGUG
rnacentral:rRNA from 1 species